CUUUGGCCCAGGCUAGAGCGCAACUCCAUGUAAAUAACAACAAUAAUAAAAGAGUGGAAGCUGGGGACUCAGGAGAAGGUGGCUGGAGUGUCUGUGGCAGAAGGGAUGGAGGCUGUGAUCUGUGAUCAGCUUGGAGGCUGCAGAGCCGACCAGUGGGUGGUUGGAGUUUAGAAGAAUCAAAAGGGCUUGCGGAUAUUGGGGGGAAUUUGUUCACUCAAGAAAGGUUGGCUGAGCGCAUUGACUCACACCUGUAAUCCCAACACUUUGGGAGGCUGAGGCAGGCAGUUUGGUUGAGCCCAGGAGUUUGAGACCAGCCUGGGCAACAUGGUGAGACCUCAUCUCUACAAAAAAUGCAAAAAUUAGCCAGGUAUGGUGGUGCAUGUGUGCCUGUAGUCCCAACUACUCAGGAGGCUGAGAUGGGAGGAUUGCUUGAGCUCGUGAAGUUGAGGUUCCAGUGAGCUAUGAUUGCACCACUGCACACUAUAGCCUGGGUGACAGAGGGAGACCCUGUCUCCAAAAAAAGAAAAAAAAAAUAGAGAAAGAGUCCAAGGAGGUGCACAGGCUCUGGUCCUCAAGGUUGGGAAGGCGAGGAUGGGGACAGCAGGUGAUGGGGGCAUGGAAUCGAGUGCGUGGAAUCAAGUGCCACUUGUGUUGAGAUGCCCACUAGGUGGCCUGGUGGAGAGGGUUAGCUACCCAGGUCAGGCUCAGGGCAGUGGUUGGGGCCGACGCAGCAGAUAAAGGAGGGUGUUCAGGAGACCAGAUGUGAGCCCCAGAGCAAGAAGUGGGCCAAAAAUAGAACCUGGGCAGAGGGAACUGUUCCUACCUCAUUGGGCUGGGCAAGAAUCAAUGGAGAGUCAUGGAAAGCACUCAGCCCAGUGCCAGGCAAGGAGUGGACACCCAUGACUGUCGCCUGGUGUUCCGCUAUACUGCUGAGGAGCUGGACCCAAGAUCCAGAGAGGGCCAGCAGCUGACCCAGGGUCACACAGCUGGACGAGGGUCUGAACCCAGUUUGUUUUUGUUUUUUGAGAUGCAGUCUCGCUCUGUCACCCAGGCUGGAGUGCAGUGGCAUGAUCUUGGCUCAUAGCAACCUCUGCCUCCCAGGUUCAAGUGAUUCUCCUGCCUCAGUCUCCCAAUUAGCUGGGACUACAGGCACACCCCAUCAUGCCUGGCUAAUUUUUUUUGUAUUUUUAGUAGAGACGGGGUUUCACCAUGUUGGCCAGGCUGGUCUUGAAGUCCCGACCUCAAGUGAUCCAGCCACCUCAGCCUCCCAAAGUGCUGGGAUUACAGGUGUGAGCCACCAUGCCUGGCCUGAAUCCAGGUCUUAAUCCUCAGAGUUCAUGCCUUUUUUCCUUUCCUUUCCUUUCCUUUUUUUCUUUUCUUUCUCUCUCCUUCCUUCCUUCCUUCCUUCCUUCCUUCCUUCCCCUUCCUUCCUUCCUUCCUUUUUUUUUUUUCAGGAUCUCACUCUGUUGCUCAAGCUGUAGUGCAGUGGAUCAUAGAAUCAUAGCUUACUGCAGCCUCAAACUCUAAAAUUCCUGGGCUCAAUUGAUCCCCCUGCCUCGGCCUCCUGAGUAGCUGAGACUACAGGUGCCACCACCACAUCCAGCUAAUUUUCUUAUUUUUUGUAGAGACAGAGUCUCACUACGUUGCCCAGGCUGUUCUCCAACACUGGGCUAGUGAUCUUCCUGCCUUGGCCUCCCAAAGUGCUGGGAUUACAGGUGUGAGGUACUGUGCCCGGCACCCAGAGUUCAUGUUCUUUGCCACUGGGCAACACUGCCAGGGGGACUGGGCCCAGCUCUGACCUGUUCCAAAGUGCCCCCCUCGCCCGGC
rnacentral:lncRNA from 1 species